UUUUUUUUUUCGUGAAAAAUUGACGGAAAAUAAAGAAGAGGGGGUAAACAUCUGGAUCUCUUUCUCCCAGAUGCUGCAGGAGAAGCGAUGCUGCCCGAAAAGGUGUGGGAAACGGCACCGGUACCCCAGCCCAGGUGAAGUUUAUGGCAUAAAGUCCCAAUAUCCCGGCGUACAAUGGUCACACUGUAAAUACGUCCUUUUCCAUCAUGUAAGACGUUAAGAUCGUUAGUUUUGGCUGGAAGCAAAAUAUAUGACAUGCAACCCGCUCUGCUAGUGGGUAGAAAAUACACACUGCUCCUGUAAUGUUUCUCAUUAUAUUUCCGCUUUGUUCAUAAAAAAUGACUGAGUUAUGGCAUAAUACAGGAAUCAAGAAAGAGGGGAAAUAUAUCAUAAAGAUGGAAACGAAGACAGCUUGUCAGUUAUAAGUGUAAAUGAAUGCUCGAUUUCUUUUAUAAAGCGAUUCCGCUAUAAAACUAAUCAUCUAAGUAAAAAAAAAAAAAAAAUUAAAAAUUCCUAUUCUGACUAAUAAAUACUUGGCUGCUCCACAUUUCACCCAACCUUGAAAAAUCUCCAGAAACUCGUCAGAGGGGUGUUUUUGUCUUUCUUGAUUCUUGAAUUUUUCCCCGAAUUUUGUGGGCUUGCGUUUUAUUAGGUUAAUAAAACUUGGUUUUCAAGGUUUUGGACGCCUCGGGGGUACAAUGAGCUCGGAUGUCAAAUGCAUCAAAUAGCUAAUGAAGGGAUUUCAAAGGUCUCCAAAGUGUCCAUAGCAGCAAUUUGUAGUGUCUCAUAAAGGUAAAGCCCAUUCUGGCUACGGCGUGUUUUGUCUGACAGUUUUCCUCCAACAUCGAUCUGCUGUUUUAUUCCGAUUUUAUACCGGUUUUAAAUGCCCCAGUCUCGCCGUCAUAAGUUUUGUGGUUAAAUCAAAUCAAACCACCAUCCUCAAGCGAGCUCACACCGGUAUUACUCAGAAAGGGCAAAUGGGGAGGGAAAAAAUUUCCAAACAUAUCGUGCAUCACAAGGAUUUACCCAAAGGCACCGAGAGAGUGAAACGAUAUGAGGGACAAUCCUUACCCAAGGAAACAGUUUAUUUUGUGAAGGUCUUGUUUGUGAGGGAGUAAGGGGAAAUCAGAAAUCAGAAAUGGUUUUUCCCCUUUCCUUUCCUCUCUUUUCUUUUUUUUUCCCCCCUUUUUUAAUCUUUUUUUUCCUUUUUUUUUUUUUUUUUUUUUCCCCUGGUUGUUCUUAUUUCAACUUCUUUUCUGCUCGCUAAAUACUAUUUCUGGGGGCUGAGCUCGGUGCGCAGGCGGGUGUCAGUGAGGGAUGGAGAGAGGCUGCGGUGGGUCCCCCGGCUGCUCCAGCCACGGCUCUCAGUUCUUCCUCCAAUACUUUCCCUUGAUUUGCUCUUCAUUCCCCCCCAGCUCGGUGCUCUUUUACCAAAACAAGCAGCCUCCCGGUCCCAUCCCGCAUUUCGUCCGUGCGGGUCUCGGCUUCCCCUGGGAUUGCGGUGUGUUUGUGUAAUUCUCCGGCGAAUGAACUUUCCAUUGCCAGCUUUCCUCCGCCUUUUCACAAAUACAGAGCUCAAUUAACAUCGCUGCAUAGCAGUUACCUUUGAGCUAAGCUUCUAUAAUAAAUUACCCGCACUCCCACUUGCAGAUAGCGCUGUUUUCUUCCCCUCCCGAGAUUUCAGUGGUCGGUAAAGCUGCUCUUGCGAACAGGCCGGUGUCUGCUGGAAAACCUUGCUGGCAGCUCGCUCUGUCAUUUGUUACGAGCCCUUCUCGGUUGCCAAAUUAAAGACAUCACCCAUAAAAAGAAAAAAUAAUAAUAAUAAUACAAAAGAAUCUCUGCCGCAUUUUUGCAGCCGCUCCUUCUGCUAUGGGGGACACCCAGAGCCUCGGCAACCCCUGGGCAGGGGAGGGGACGGGGAUGGAGAGGGGCCUGUUGUCACCUUUAAAACAAAAGGGCUGCUCUGGAGCCCAUAGAUCAGCAGCGGUCAAAGCUUUCCUAAGGCACAGAUCUCUCUAUGAGGUUAGAACAGCCGUGUUAAUCUUCUAUUCCGUGUUUACAGAGCCAGCUCAUCCGUGGGGUGGGUGGAAAGCGGCCAGCUCGCAAGAGAACGCUCUUUAUUAAAAAAUACGGAGUUAUGUUGCUUUUAGCAGUGACCCCGGAGCGCGUCCCGCAUUUUGGGGUGGAGGGCAGCUCCUCUUACCCGGGGCUCCCGCAGUCCCGGCCCCGCACUCUCCGGGGGGGCUGCAAGAAAUGGGAGCUGGGGGGAAGGUCUCCAGCCGCCUUCAGCGAUAUCUAGCGGAGCCCCCACCGAAGAAAAACCCUUGCGGGGACUUGAUGGGUUACUUUCGCCCAGACGGGGGCCUAAAUAAGCCAACCCACCCCCCGGCAUUGGGCGGCGGCCGCUGCCCUCGAAGCGCGUCCCCCCCCGCGGCGAUGCGGCGGACGCGCUCCCGGAGCUUUUAUUUAUUCAUUUAUUUGUUUGUUUUUACGUAAUGAGCCGGGGGGGUGGGGGUAGCCUUUCGGUCCGUGUCAGUAGUCAGAGAUCAUCAUUUUCGAAACGGGAAGAAAAGAGAGAAGGAACGGUUGAAUCGGGGAAAACUUAGGGAAAGCUGUGAAAAAAAAAAAAAAAAAAAAGAAAAACAAAGACCAAGAACAACCAAAUCUCCCCUUGCUACACUCAUCCUUGUGCGAAAUGCACUUUUCGAAGAAAUGCCAGCACUGAACUCUCUCAUUUCUCCAUCCUGCUUGUCCCAGCCCGUGGGAAGAUAAUUCUUCGGAAAGGGCUGCACACCCUGCACGGGGGUACAGGAGCUGCCAAAAGGAGCUGGGGACAAAUGAGCUGAUGUCGGUGUUUCUGCCGGGCAAGCAGCCCCCAGCGUUUGGGAGGGGGGGUGCCCGGCCGUCUCCCCCCGCCGCUGCCCUGCGCUCUGCCGCAGCGAGCAGCAAAACGAGCGAAAUCGGGAGAUGUUUGGGAUCCGCGGCCGCGUACCUGGCCCCGGGAGAUACGUUUCCGUGGGGUAAAAAUGCAGCAGUGAGGGGGGAUCGGAGCAGCGCUCGAGGUGCGCAGCGCCCUGCGCUCCCUGCGCUGCGCUACGCGGGGCUGCGGCCGGCCCGCACUCCCCUCCCCGCCAAAGCGCCCGGCCCGCGCGAAUUUGUUGCAUUUCCCUCGGUUGAUUGUUUAGUUAGAGAUUUUGCCAACUUCCUGAUGGUUCGUUUUCUGAUUCUGGAAAAAAAAAAAAAAAAAAAAAAAAAAAGAAAAAAGAACCGCAUUUCCUUUUUGACUUAAGAGGGAGAGAGAGAGAGAAGCAGAGGCUGGGGGCUGGUGGACGCAUCGAGCUACAAACCACUCCCGGCCAAAGCCAAAGCUACACAGUUCAUCUGAAAUCCCACCUGAAAUUCUGCAGCUGCUUGUAAAUAAGCAAAAUGAUAAAGAAGAAAAAAAUCCCCAUUAGAACUUGUAAGAGCUGCCUCAAGAAUGGAUUUCCUGAGUUGAUUACCUUAGAACAAGUGGCACAAGAAGAAGAUGCAGAAGGGCUAUUCAUCACAGAUCUCUGACUCCACGCUGCAUCCAAAUGUGCUAAAACCCUGAAAAGCACUGACGUAGGAGAGCCCUGCUUGUCCUGGCCUGAUCCUGAAUGACACUGACACUCACUGACUUUUCCCCAUAACAGAUGCUUGGGAAAUAAAGAGAGAAAUUGAAUAACAGUAGAAAAAAGCAGGCUUAUUUCCAAAUACAUCCUUUAAAUACAGGACAUCGUGCUUGUGUGGCAAGGACUUAAUACAACAUUGACCAGAUUCUUCAUCUGUGCAAGCCCAGUUUUGCUGACUUUUUUACCCUACUGUUUGCCCAAUGGAGAAUAUGGAGAAAGAGAAAGAACAGAGCCUUCCCAGGAAAGAAUAAAGCUCAAAUAUCAGCUUCUCAAACUCAAUAAAGGAACAAGGAGGGGUGGUGCAUUGCAGAAAUUUUCCCCGGACAGUUAUCCCACCUGUAAUCCUUUGCUGCUUGCUGGAACACCUCUUGGUGCUGCUUGGCCUGGGGCAGUGAAGAAGAGGACACUAAAGUCAGCCUGUCCCCCUUGUCUUCCCCACCAGCAGUUGCACUAGAAGAUGACUGAUGGCUGUGUUGUGCUAUAACGUAGGCAUUUUUCAGCUGGACACCGUAGGGUGUCUGUAUCCUCAUGCCUUUCCCUGCCCUUCACCUUAUUUAGCCCUUUGCAACAGGCUGUAGUGAAAUAAUCUUCACAACAGCAAGAACACCAAAUAACUCACGAUGUGCCUCAAACUGUGAGAAAAGAGUAUCUGAUCCUCCCCAAACACAGACCUGCUCACUUCAAAGAGGGCUCUCACUACAGUUGCAGAUAGGAGGUUAUUUGGUAUGGACUUCCAGUCUGACCUGCUGAAGCUGUUCAUAUCUUCUUGUGAGCCUAGACUUCCAAGUGCUGGAAGACACAGCAAACAAAAUGCUCAUUGUGUUUGCAGAUGAAGGGGAAACACUUGUGAAAAACACUGGAGCUGAACUUCUGAGAAGCCCUCAACUCAGAGGUUUCAAAAUAUUUCUCAGCAAACCCUGCCAGAACCCACCACCGAUGUGCUGUAGUUGUGAGAACACAAGAGAGAAGAAGCAUCGUUUACAUUCCCAGCACAAACAUCAGGUGAUGCAGGACAAGCUGGUCCAGGUCCAGUUUUCUUGAAGUGGUUUUUGACCAGAAUUCUCAGUGAGGUGUCCAAAUUUAGGCACCAAUUCUCAUGUUGUCUUUGUGGUACACCCAAACCACAGGUGGAGUCUAUAUGUACUGGGGUAUGCGCAGAUGACCAUAUGGCCUUGCUCUCUUACUGGAAACCGUUUAGAACUGACAGAAGGCAACGUAACAUGGGCUUCCUACCUGGCACUGGGGCCCAUGUUCCUGCCACAAAAUGACUUCCAUUACAAGAGUCAGAGAGCAAGAACUUAUACACUACAGCAUGAACCAUGGUGUGCUGUGUUUCUUGAAGGGAGUAAGACCAUCUAAUUGAGGUGUCCAUGGUCUUAAAUAACUUGAUUUUCCAAAGAACAUGAAGACUGAGCAUUUCCAUUGAAGCUUAAGCAGGGAAGGAAGAAAAACUCAGCAUCUUUUCGAAUCACUGCACAGUUUGUGUCAUUUCAUUACCACCUUACCAAGUCUAUGCUCUUAAAACAGGUCUUUAUCCAAUCCCUGGGUUGCUGCAAGCAAAUCAGAUACAUAUAGGUGACUGGCGUCAGUUCAAUAAUAUGGGUUGUAUCAAGACUCAGGAUUUUCAUAUUUCAAAGGAUGUUAUGAUUUUUAAAAUCACAAACAGGAACAUAUUUGUGCGCAGACCCAUGCUGUGUGUUACAUUAUCCACUUAGACUCAUAUUACAAAAAUAAGCUGUAAACACUUUUGAUGAAAGGACUGGAAACUUUGUUUACACCCUGAGAAUGGACUUUUGUUUUAAUGCCCAAUUUCACUCUGGUAUUUCACCUUUCCCCUCUGUUUUACAUAUAUUCUGUCAUUUAAUUCCAGCUUGCUAUUUAUUUAUCUUUGUGCAGGGAAAAAAACAAGGAAAUUUUUUUUAGAAAAAGCAUAAGUAAAUACAUUUACAAAAAAGGUGUUCACUCAGCUCUUAGCUAAAUGUAUGCAGCAAAUCACAGUCUGUUUACCCUGAGAGUGUUUUAGUUGGGGUCUUAGGUGAUUUCCACCAGCAAUGAAUGAGCGUUAGCUAAAAGCAAAAUGAAAAACCUUUUACCUGUCAAGACAUUAAUUAAAGUUUAAUUAUCUCCUGUUUGCAUAGUGCUUGGAAGAUGUGAAAGUGUUUUGGAAAUCCUGGCCACACUAAGGCCUGCACUGGCUACUGCUGGAGUAGCUUUUGGCAUUAGAAAUACCCAGUAUGGAAUCGGGGCUUACUGCAUCGCAUCAAGGUGUUGCUGUCUAAGGCCUGUCUGAGGUUGUGAUGUUAACACACAAGAAAUGCACAUCCUGACAGGUCCAUAAAAGCAGUUUUUUUAUAUAGUUUUUAAAGGCUGGAAUCCAUCCUAGCUGGCUAAAGCUUUCCCACAAAUUAAACCUUGCCUCAAGGCCAUGCUGUGCCAGAAGAAGUCAGUGCAAGCACCGUGUCUCUCACUGAAUGGCCCAAACCACCUCAGCAAGGAUGAGGUCUCCAUCACGAGGUCCAGCAUCUCGGACACUUUAUGCAACAGAGCCCAUCCUAAAGGCACCUAAAAUAGGUCAGAGGAUGAAAUUUUGGCUUAUUUAGUGUCCUUUGCUCUUGGGGCAACCACACCAAAGGCCUUCCUUCAAAGGUGGCUUGCACAGAGGAAGAGGCAAGUUGGUAUUGGUCAGAAAUAUUGUCAAAAUUAUUUCCUCACUCCAGGAAGCCCAGCUUUUUUAUGGAUUUUAUUGUUCUUUGCAGGCACUGUGGUAGAAGAAAAUGUUAAAGGAGAGCUUUGAAGAAAGGAAAUAAGCUAGUUGGAUGGAUAUUUGUGGUAGGAUCUCCUCCCAGCUCUGAGGAAUAGGGUGUGAGAAAGAACAUGUAGGAAGUGGGGUGAUGGCUGGUGCUGUUACAAGUGGGUGACUGUAGGGUUGGGUGCUUGAUCAUGGAAGAGAGAGAGCCAAGUGUGCCCAACUGUGACCUGCAUGGAAAGGGAGAACCAGCACCUUUGGCUGAACAGGACAGAGAAGGGGAAUCUCAUAAAGGCAUUUAAAAAAUCGGGUUUCAUAUUCAGACCAGGACCUUUUCAGAAAAGAAAGUAUGAGGGCCUCCUUUUACUGUGUUUCAAUCUGAUUUCUAGAAGGAGUUUCCACAGAUUUCUGAUCAUCAUCUGAAUUCUGACAUUUUUCUGAACCACCAUUUUUUUUUAUUAUUUACUUUUUUUUUUUUUAAUUUAUUUAAUUUUUAUUUAAUGUUUACCCAUCACUGUUUGCAAAUGAGCGCUUUGGCUGCCUUUUCUCCCAGACUUUUAAACUGCCCAGGCACGAUUAAACAGUAAAAAAUGUCACAGAAUUCACAGAGAGAGAGAAUAAUAGUGAAAUCUGUUCCUAAUUUUUUUUAUAUUUCAUAUGGGAUGCAAACCGUUUACUCCAUAGUAAUUGCAGAUGUUAGACUGAGACUGUAAUAACGUAUCUGGCAAUAACUCUAUUGCUUUACCACAAAAAGCUUCCCAGUAGCAUUAAAAAGACAACAGAAACAAUAGUUUCAACACAUUCAUAUGUACUAGUAUUCUGGAAGCACUCAAGCUACUGAUUUACCAUGUAAACUUUUGCUGGUGUAUGCAUGAACUCCGAAUAUUUUCUCAUACUGUUGUUUAAGAGACGACAAUCCCAUAUCCAGUCAUGCAGUCUCUUAAAUUUGCAGACAAGUUUUCCUUCUAAUGUGUUAUAAAGCUCUUUAUGUCUUUUAUAUAUCUCUCUCUUUAUUUUUGCCUCUUUUUUAACAUCGGUACAUUCUGGUUUCUUUGCCCAUUUCAACAUAGUGUGCUGGAUUGCAAUUUUGAAUUCAAAUCUAAAAUUCACUGCAGUUCUUGAAAACAAUCUAAGAGUUUGCCUGGGUUUUGAGCUACUUGUGUAACAGAAAUAUAUAUAACAGGUGGUACAUAAAGCAAAUACCCUGAAAUCAACCUCUCCAAGCUAUGUGGAUGCUCUUAUCACACAUUUUCAUAUGCAAGACACAACCAGACACAUGUCACUGUGCCUUCAAAGUACCACAUUUUUGUCACAGAUGUUUUGCAUAAAUAAAUGGUGUCAUACAGGCUGAUUAAAUCAAUACAUCUGUAUCAACUUGCAGUUCCUGACAGCAUGUUCCAGAGGAUAUCUUCUGCUCCCACUGUACCCUUUGAAAUUGUAGAUAUAAACAAAUAAUAAUAAUAAAAACACCUUGUUUUUCCCAGGUUAGCUUUUCAUCUUUAUCUAACAAUAACAGUAGCUGCUCUGAUUAUCACAGAGAAAAAUAACACAGAGAUAAUGUGGAUGAAGCUGUUUCAGCGCAAGGUUAUCCAGUCUGGUGGUACUUUAAACCACAGCUCAGCUCCAGUGUCAUCAGAUCCCCGAGCUGGAAAGUUCUUGUACUACAAUUUAGGUUUUCCAGCCAUUCCAUUCUAAUCCAAUGCUCAUACAGAGAAGUCUUAUUUUCUUUCCAUCCAUUGUUGCAUAUUUGUGUGUUUGGUACAGUAGUGUGAGAUUAGGAAAUUUCAGUUUGAAAAAGGGCCUGGGGGCUGUGGUUUCUGGUUGUGUUCGCAUUGCAAGGAGGUCACUUCUCCAUUGAUAUUUGCUGAAAGUAAUGAAAUUCAUAGCAUGCCAGUAAUAAUAUCACGUUGUGUAUCUGUUCUGUGCGCCUGGAUGUCUUCAGAUUCUUUAUCUAUCGUGUGUGAGUUUAGUAAUGGUACUAACAGUGUGAGAUCAGAACUGGGAAGGGGGAUUUUAGGGACUUUACAGCUACCAGGAGAAUAAAAAAUCCCAUAGAUAAUGUUCACAGUUUUCUAUUUAAAUUAAUAGCAAGUAAACAGAUGAGUAACAUAUGGUAAAAAUAACAAUUUUUGGCACAGAAGACAGACUCCCAUUAGGAUUUCAGGAUCACGUUCUCCUCUGGCUGCCCACUUCUGCCUCCAUUCCUGGGUUUCCAUCGUUUAUGGAGCACUUAACGAGCUGGUCUCACUAUGUCACCAUGUGCCUGUGCCAUCCCUAGAUGCAGCAAGUCAAGUGAUCUAGCCAAACUCAACACAAGCUGCUAUCAGGCUGAAUUUUGGACCCCUGCUGCCAGCUAUACUGAUUAGAUUUAUUUUUGUAUUUUAUUGUAGUUGAUUUGGUUUUGAAAAUAGACCUAAGCCUCAACCCUGUAUCCACAAGUUGAUGAGUAUUAGAGGUAAUCAUGAAUAAACCCAGCACAUGGCACACCAAGGCAUAAGCACUUUUGAAAAAAGCAAUAUCAAUGUUACCUUUGGCUUUUACAUGUCUUUGGUGUCAGAUAUUGCCAGGACCCCACACAAACUGGAAAAACAAAACAAAACAAAACAAAACAAGCCUCUUGGAAUCAGACUAGACAGGUUAUAAGUACUAAUAGUCAGGAUUUCUUAGCAUCAUCCUCCCACAACUCUUUUUAGGUAGUUUACAGGGUCAACAUCAGAGACAGCAUCUGAGCACCUUUCUUAUAAAACUAUAGCGACAUAAAGCUAUAAAUGAGCAAACAAUUUAGGAAAGAAUGAGUGAGAAAGUGUAUAUUCCCUCUCUCCAAAGAUACGACGUUUUUUGGGUAGCUGGGAUAUUUCUGCAUUCAUUAUAUGCAUCUUGGCUUGGCUUCUCUUCAACCUCCAAGUUUUACAGAAAUGUAUCUCCGUAUCACUGUGACCUUCCAAAGACAUCAGUCUGGCUAGGAAAUCCAGAGAAUUUCUGGCGUAGAGGGUACUGACUCACUCAUUGUUCCUGUUCAUUGUCAGUUCAGGAAUUUCCUCUGGUUUGGUUGGUAGGAAACAAUCCAGCCAAUGGCAGUUGUUGGUAUUUUGCUGUUGUUUGCCAGGAGUCUAAACCCCAAAAUAUUUUCUCUUCUCAACAGCAUCAUGUUUCUGAUUAAUCAGGGUCAACUCUUCUUUUCUCGCCUGACCUCUAGUAGUGACCCCAAUGUUCCUUUUAAUUUCCUUGAUCUAUUUGCUACAUUCCCAGCCGGGUCUCCGGAGUGUUGAAGGUUGAAAAUAAUUUCCAAACACCUUCAGCUGAGUUGUGGUUCCAGUUAAACUGGUCUGAAUCAAGACUCGCUCUGCAGUAAUCGCUGGGCAAAAUUGACGUGGGAGCCAAACCACAGUUUAUGACAUUAGGGAUUAUGUCUUUCAAGGGGAAAAAGAAAGCUCUCUCAUAAUUUCUAUAGUAUUUCCCUUGCCUUACUAAGCCAGAUGCCUCUCUGUCUUCCUCAUCAGCGGAAUGUCCUCUUUAUAAAGAUGUUUUCCCAGCUUCCUUCAUCAGAAGAUAUCAAGACAGAAGAAUGACUGUAUUGGCUGGAGCAUGGUCAUGGGAUGUGGGAUCUGCUGCUGCGUCUCUGGAUGGCUCCAUCCAUCCUCUUCACCAUGAAAUCCAGACAGACAACAGGGACUAUUUUUGAGACAUGCUUCUGGGGAAAGAGAUGGAGCUGGUCUUAUUUUUACUAAAAAAAAAGUAAGACAGCAAGGGAAUGGCUAACAUCCUCACUAAAACAGAUAUUUCAAGCUGGAUGUCACCUUCUUUCCAGCUAACCAUGCCUUCUCCGAAGGAUCAGUUCUGAUAGAUGUCUGCUGUUUCAGUUGGCUGCAUCUGGGAGGUAUAAACUCCAUCAGAGAUGAGCUCAAGCUGUGAAGUUCGAAGAGGCUGGUGGGGUCUGAGCUUUUGGGGCCAUGCUCAGGACCUCAGGAGUCAGAUACUGCUCAGCAGGGAGCAGGGGAGCUUGCUUUGACACAGAAGGUUUCUGCAUGGGGAGGCCCAGAUGAUGGAUUUGGACUUGAAAAUGUAACCAUAAUAUAUUUACACCAUAAUGUAUAUAAUGGGUGUGUGUAUGUGUGUGUUCGUGAAGGAAUGUUGGAAGGGGGUUUGUGCAAUAAGGCAUGAUUUAUGUCGGCUGCGUAGAGGAUCUAGCCUCCUUUUAUCCCAUCUGAAGAACCGUCUGGGAAUUUCAUCACAGUAGGAAAACAGGGAGGUGAAAAGGCAUCCUUGCUUUCAGUGAUCUAACCCAAAUCCAGCUCAGUAGCAUCUGAGAGCAGGUUACCACAAGCAUAGUCCUGGUGCCAGGACUUCAACAGUUUCCAUUUCCCCAUAAAGACCAGCUCACAUAUCCAGCGGAGAUGAACAAAAUUUCCAUUUGCCAUGGUGGGCUCAUUAGUUACAGGUAAAAGUUUGUUCUCCUUGCUGGCUAAAUCCUUUAAGGGUACUUUGGGUCCAUUCCUAGUCCAAUUAAAGUCAAUAGGAGCAGGAUUGGGCUCCAGAAGGUAUUAUUCUUAAUUUAAACAUUAAUAGUUUAACUCUCUGUUGUUAAUAAUAAUAACCCCUUGGAAAAUUCGGGCUGAAAUCCGUUUCCUUGCUGAAUUUCUUUUCUCCCAUCAGGCAUGCAAACUGGUUUGUUAUUGUUGGGUUACUCUUGAGUGUUUUGGGUUGCACACACUGGUUUGUUAUUGUUGGGUUGUCCUUCGGCUCUGGGCCACGCACACUAAUUUGUUAUUGGAGUGUUGCUCUAAGCUACACACUCCAGUUUAUUACUGAUGGGUUGUUCACUGUGUGUUGGGUUGCUGUCCUUGUUUUACGAUUAUUAUUACUGAGGUCUUUUGUGAAACUCCUACCCACACAAAUAGAAGGGCAGGAACUGUGGCAAAUUUAACGCAAUGUUUUGGGUUUAAUGCAUUUUGCUUAACUUUUAAAAGGGGACUAAUUAAGGCUUUCAGAAUUAGGAAACCAGCUUCUUACUUUAAUAUGGUUUAGAAUACCAUUUCCUUCCCUACUUCCUUUUCUUCCCACAUCCUUCUUUUGAAACAUAACUUUUUAUAGGUAUCCUAUCUUCCAUCUUAAUGCUCCUGUUAGCUUACCACUGGCCUUACAGGAAAAACUUCUUUAUGGAAGAUUUCCUUUCAGGUUCAGUGCAAAAGCAAAUAUUCAUGACCCUUAGUCUUAAUACUUACUUCUCUUAUGUCUUCAUUUCAUUUUGGUUCAUACAUUGAUGAUAGGAAAAUUAAAAAAAAAAAAAAAAGAAAGAAAAAAAAAAGACAAAAAGAUUGGAAAAUACGUGUUGGACAGGAAUCUGGUAUAAUUACAUGACAUAAACCAAAAUUUUUCAUUUCCAUUAUUACUGAACAGUGUAAUAUUGGAUACAAUUUUAAUUUUCCUGGUUCCACAAGCGAUGCCAUUGGUGAUCUGGCAAUGUUAAUUUGGUGAAACUGAACUGUUUUACCAGGUCAGAAGUAACUGUGAAAUAAAACACUAUGAUAUAGAACAACUAAGACCUUUCAAAUUACCACUGUUUGCAUCUUAUUUUCCUUUGUCAAACAUUUUUUUGUACCAUUAAGCUUCUCUUAGAUUUAAAAAAAAAAAAAAAGAGUUUGAGUGGAGUAGGUAUAUCACUCUUUGGCAAAGGUGAAAUAAAGGAGCUAUGAAGUGAAUAGGGCUGCUUUCCACAGCAGUCGUUAUUUAUCUGUUCUAUUAAUAUAUUUAAACAAAGAAGGAGAGAACUCUUGGGUAAUUAAUGUGGUAUUACCUGCAAGACCUGUCUCUCUUCCAUGUAUACAACUAGGUUUGUGUGUGUUUUCAAUCCAGUUAAAUGACUGUAAAACCUGAAAUGUGAGCUGAAGAGACCUCCUCAUUGCUAUAUCUAACUGCCUGCUAUCAAAGCUGACCACAUCAGUCUUGUUGAGCUCCAUCUUGAAACCAGUUAGGGUUUUAUUCUGCAUUCCCUGCUCCUCUGGGCACAUCUGAACAGCGGUCAUGGACCGGACAUUCACUGCAGACAUGAACAUGGAAAUGUCCUUGAAUUUUUUUCUCCACAUUGUCUACCAAACCCCAGAGAAUGCAUGUUUGCAGCUUAGAAAGGGAAGUGAUUAUUAGGUUUGUUUUAAGAGGCCAGCUAAGGUGCAGCAGUUCAGCCCUCAAAGUCAUGGGCAGAUUGGGAGGAGACCAACCAGGGCUAAGCAGUAAAUCUCUCUCAGACUGGCUUCUCAUCUCUGGGCAAAAGCUGACCAGAGACUAAAGAAGCAUUUUCACUAUCCUGCAACACAAAAGUUGCACUAUUGGUGUAAAAGCCCUCACUGGUUGGGACAUUUGCACCACAUCCCAGCUCCAUUCUGGGAAGCGAAAUACAUUUUAAGCACAAAUUUCCAAAUAACAACAUGUCAUGCUCCCCACAGAUGCUGCCUGCUCCUCAAAAAAAUAGCAGUAUCUUUUGAUUUUCCUAGCCCAAACACCACUUGCUUCAAGUCUUUAUUUUCCUUUUGAUAGAAUUCAUUUUCUGAGGGCCGCACGGGCAUGGCUGGGGCUGGUUGCCUUCAGCAGCAUGCUCCAUGCCUGAAUAAAUGGAGCAAGGGGGCUUGGUGCCAAAUCCUGCCCUCAGAUAAACACUCCCAAUGUUCAUUGACUUCUCCACAAGCUGCCAGUGCAUAUCUUGAGGGCAGCGCUUGGCCUACGGAUGUGUUGUUUUGGUUAUUUUGCAAUUCCAGUGCAGAAAUGGGUUUUUUCCUCUCUGAAGGAAAGGAGUUCAGUGCCACAUCGCAGCCAGCUGGUAGAUGAAGCCCAGCGGGUUUAUCGGCAAUGACUUAACUACUGGGCUGUGUUGGGAAUCUCAUGUUUUACAGCUGGGAUAUAGGAUCUCUGAUAUGAACACCCCAGGAUUUAUUGGUCCCACAAGGACUUGGGGUUUUCCUGGCAGUGCAGUUCAGAGAGUCAAGAGAAGUCAAAGGUUAUCUUUUGUAGGGUAGUAUGGGAUUUACCAGCUGACCCUUCCCCCCUCCUCUGGUUCAUCUGCUAGAAUCAUUAACGAGCUUUCCUUUACCCUCCAGAACUGUUAGUGUCUUUUUAGCACUGAGAUCAAGUUACUGACCUUUGCGGUGCCAAUAUACCUUGAGGAUUUCAAGAGCUCUGGGGUAUUUUCAGUGUUAAAAGGAACAACAUGAAGAAAGAUGAAUAGGUGUCUCUCUUGCCCAAAAUCAAGCUUCAUGUUUUUAUCCCUUGUUAAAGUGAGGCCUUGCUUGUUUAUAUGUCACCAUUUUGAGGGAUUUUUUUGUUUCAGAAAAAGCUUCCCUUUUGCAAUGUGUUGAAAAAAAAUGGGGAGGAAAGUGGGAUGUAAAAAUGAAUUAAUGCCGAACUGGGGAUGGUGCUUUCCAUCCCAGGGAAUCAGGAAGAUGCUGUUGGUCCCACUUAGGAAUGAUAAGGAAAUUAUUUUGGCGUUUAACCACACUGGAGAUCAUUUCACAUCUCUCCCAAGCUUUCUGCAGGUGACACACAGGGUCUGCUGAAGUCCUUCUCUCACCCUGUUGUGCCUGGAGGUGGACAGCAGGAUUUGGGGGAAAAUCGGCAGGCAAGAAUUGCUGUUCCACUCUCCAGAUGGGCUCUCCACCCCUCCAGCCCCUCCAUCAGGUCUCCUUGCACAGGUUUCAGCAAGUUUUGUUUUCAGUUAAACUCAUUUUGGAACAAGGCCACCACAAAAUUAACAAAGAAAUAAUAAUGAUCCUGCACCAUCUAGCUGGGCUUUUCCCGCUGUAUCAAAGAACAGCUCUCAGAGGUCAUUUAAGGCCUCUUGGUGAUGUCCCUUCCUCUCUUCUCCCAUCCCUUGCCCCAUACAUCAGCCACCUAAUCACUUGUGAAACCCAAAGCAGGGGGCUCUGAUGUUAUUGCAUUACAAAAUCAAGAUUUAUCUGAACAUGAGAAGCCUCUCAGGGUUUUAUGAUAUGCAUGGCGCCAUUCCUUUCUGUUAACCUAUUUGUUACUUUUAUACUUGGGAACUUUUUAUCAUUCUUGACACCCCUCCAUCUGUUCCCCACCAUUCAGAAGCUGGGGGUCUUGUUUCACAGGACAGCAAGGAUGAAAUCACUUCAUCUCAAUCAUGGGUUACAGUAAUUAAGUAACUGUUUGAACACUUGGAUUUUGAUAUGCUUUUGGGAUAAAGUCCCUGGGCUUCCUUUUAUUCCCAUCCUUCACAGAAUUUGACUCUCUUACAGCUACUACUCCACCAACUAUUGACUUUAAAAUUUAAUAUGUUUUCUUUUUUAUUCUAAUAACAGAAAGAAUCUGAAUAUCACACUUCUUUCUUGUAAAAGUAAGGCAGGGGACAAAUGUUCUCAGGCAUUAAUUAUACCAGAUUAUCUGAUAUCAGGAUCCAGAAAGUAGAUUUUUAAUGCAUAGUAUAAAGUGCAAAAAGAAGUCAGGGAAAAAAAAAUCUCUUUGUUUUCACAGCAACAUCAAGCCAUUUGGAACCUGUUAACAGAGCAAAACAGUUCCAAGACUCUAUUGGUUAAUAGCAAUUAUAGUGAUGCAACAACCAGUUCAGUGACAUGACCGACACCUUCUUGCCAGCACUUUUAAUGAUCUAGUUAAAAAGUUAAACUCUGUUUGCAUUACAUGGAACCCAUCAGGAAAUUGGAAAAUAUUGUACAUGCUUCAAGCUCUGCUGAUUCCAGAGCCAGACCCUCUGUGCAUGCUGCUUCACUGCAAGCCUGUAUUGGCAAAACACAAGAAGUUCCUGCAUGUUGUUCCGUAGAUGACAAUAUGCAGAUACAUGAAGAAAGGCUCAUGGAUAGGGCAUUUGCUUCAUUAAAUCUGAGUGGGUUUUGCACUCAGCUCCAGCCCAGUGGAUCCUGAGUUUUUUGUGGAACACACCAUCACAAAGCACAUCGCAACUGCACAGCAAUUGUCCUGCAAACAUCACCUAUCCCUUGUCUAGACCUGGCUGGAGCUGACACUCUCUGCAGACCCUGGUGUCUUCUCAUUGAAGGUCUCAGAGGAAUGGCAGAGACUGGGUGACUUCACUCCAUAAACCAAGAUCUGACCAGAGCUGCUGGAGCAGGUCUUUGACCAGCAAAUGUUUUUAUUAAUUAAGGUCAGGUAUGUACAUGUCAGGUAUGGAGCUGUAAGAAGGAUUAUAAAAGUGUCUAUACAAAAUGUGAGUAUAAAUACAGCUAAGUAUCUGCCAGGUCCUCAGCUGAGUGGACUUUGCUCCCAAAAAAGUAUUUUCUUGCUUCAGAGGGAAUAUUUGUAACACAAAGAUUGGCUCCACCUGACUGUAGAUGCAAAUGUGCUGCAGACACUGAUGCUGAGCUAAAACAUGAGAAGUUCAGAAAGUUAGUAACUCAGCAUGAUUGAAGGAAAUUUUAAGUCUUUUGCUAGGUCUUAGUAACAUGGCUCUCUGCUGGCUUUAAAGUUCAGUUUAAAAAAUUAGCCUCUUCUGCCUUAUUUAGACUCUGUGCCCCAGCCUCACUGAGCAAGAGAGCUGGGAGGCACAACAAUUUAGAGAAGUUCAAAUAACUAAACUGGCCGUGACCUGAACUAAAACUAAUAGUUUGUGUUUGUGAUGGCUACGAGAACGGCAUCUGGCUUACAUUUAAAUAGAGGGCUAUUCAAUAAAGCCACUGCUUCUCAAAACUGCACAGAAGCAAAGAUUAAUUAUUGCAACUAAUGACGUUUCAGCCAUUCAUGCACCCAAGGGAGAAAGGCAACCCCCUGCCCCAAGAAACUAAUAACAACAACAAAAUCUUGCAGAAAGCCCAACAAGGGAGAAACACCAAGGACAUAUUGUUGUUCCUGAUACUCUGCCCAGGCAUCCUAAACAUGGAAUUAAAUAUAAUCUUUACCAGCAAACUCUUUUUGCUUGUUGUCCUCCCAAAGGAGAACCCAGAGUUUCAAAUUGGCUUUUAAUAGCAACACUGAGAACCCAGCCUCUAUGUCUUCCAGCGUCUUAGGAGAUCAUGUUUCACAUUUCACUCAUUCCUCAGUGUGUUGGCACAGCCUAACACUGGCUUCAGACAUUUGGUAUUUGAAACAGAAAAUCUUGGUGUUUCAUUCCUUGCCUCACUUCUCUCUGUGUUUCUCCAGCAUCAUAUAAUAUUGACAACCCCUGCCUGUAAAGAAAGGCCAGGUUCUCUCGUUUAUUCAGCUGCAGGCUUUAAAAAUGUAGAAUAGGGGUUUUGUUCACAGGAGAGAGCAACUGGCAGUGAACUUUUUCCUUCUUUACAUAAAAGUAGGAUAGCACAAUAAACAAUGGUAAGUGAAGUGGGACCCAAGGUAUGUAUGCACAUAUGUAAUAUUCAGCUGGCUAGCUUUUUAGUGCCCCAGUUUCAGGGUACAAACCUGCUCCCAUUUGUGUGAGCAAUUCAUAUACUUUAAUAAUCUCAGGUCUUGCACCUUCAUACAUCAAAAUUUGUAGGGAAAGAUCUGGCCAUCCAUAUGCCUCAUGGUUUGGUGAAUCAUAUACUGAAGCAUGCCAGUGACCACAGUGACCUAUACUUUUUAAAUGCAGCAUUUCUUGAAGCAGUGUUUCAGCAUCAAGAGGUUGACUCCCAUUCCAUCGUGGUGACGGGGAAAAAAUGAAUCACAUUAUGUCUCUGUGAGUAUAAAAUUGAAAUCAAUGAAGAUCUAUUGCUUUUCCUUCAUAGAGGAGCCAGUCCCAUCUUCCCCAAUUCCUCUGUUCAAUCUCCCUGUCCCAGCUGUUCUACUCACCUCCAAACCCUGGAUGAGCCAGACUUGGAUGACUUAGUCACCCAAAGAGGCCACAAGUUUUGGACAGACCUUGUUAACCCCUGCUGUUCAAUAGACAUGACUUUGAUGGGCGUACGAGUAGGUUGAGCAGGUGCAUUCCUGUAGCUGUGGUCCCCAUGGCUGGGUGUGACAUCCCCCAUCUAAAGGAGGGUCCAAAGGAAGGAAGAAGUGUCCAUAUGGAGGAAAGCAGAGAUGACACAACAUUGCUCUGAGAAGUCACAAGGUGCCAGCACUUAGACAGCAAAAACAGGAAUAAAAUUGCAGGUCUACCAUGAAUGGUGCUACAAAAGCACUGAAGAGCUCAAUUUGUGUAAGCCCAGCCUCGUCAAGUGGUGGGGAGCAGAGAGGACGGAGCACACUGACAUCAUCUCCCAAACAUCAUUACACAUUAUUAAUACUGUUUCCCUCUGCUUCUGAUCUUCCUUUGGGGAAUUUUCAUACUCCUUUUGGCCAUAAGCACAAAAGGGAUGAGAAAUGGAAAACAGGAUUUUGGAUGGCUAUUGCAUCUGUUGUGACAAAUGUAUAGCAAAGUCAAGCUUUAAAGUGAGCUGUUUGCUUGUUGGAGUGUAGCAGCUCUGGAGCUGUCAUCGGGUGUAGUAUUGUGUAAAUAUAUAUUCAGGCACUUCUUAUGGAAGUGGAUAUGUGACCCAAUAGGCUUUAUUUAGCUCCUUCUGGCAACUGUGGGAAUGCAUUUUUUUGGCAUAUACAAGAGCAAUCAGAGUAGAUUCAGCCCUGUAGAAUUAAGGACUUAAGAGGGAUGUAGAGAUAACAAGUGCCUCAUUUGGAGGCCGAGGUUUUGCCCAAGAGGGAGGUGAAGUCCUGAGCCACUACAGAAAACAGGGGCUUUUUUUUCUUCAAAGCAUGUCAGGUUUUUCCUUCAUUGCUCAAGGUAGCAAAACGGUGUGACUCUACACUGUGGGUUAGUAUGGAGAGAUCUGAAUUUGCUUUACGUGGAGGCUUCAAAAAGAGAAAUAUCCUGUGGCGGUCCACGUUGCUACUUACCAUCUCCUUUGUAACUAUGGCAGGGUCCAGAUGAGACAUCUAGAUGCUCUGAGGCCCUGGGGAAUCAAAAUGUGACACUUUGGGGCUGCAAAAAAGGUCCAGGUUUGAAGAUUUUAGGUAAAAAGUUAAUUUUUAAAAAGCAGAAUGUUUUGAUAAAAACAGAUUUGUUUUCAAUUAACUAAAAAUUACUUUGGGCUGAAGAAUGUUCUUUACAAAGACAAUUGAAAGGUUAGUUUUAUAUUAGAAUAAUUAUAUCAGUUAAUAAAUAUAUUCAUUUUAUGUAUUUAUAUUUAUUCAAAACUUGUUUGAUGUUAUUUGAAGAACCCAUCACAACUAGCUUUAAAUUUGAGAUUGUUCCUUUUCCCUUCUUUUAUUGGAAACUUGGGUUAACUUAAAAUUCUCCUUUUCUGAUAUCAAGAAAUAAAGUAUUUAACAUGUCCCAAGAAAUUAAAUAACAUCAGAAAAAAAAAAAUCUAAAAGCUCUUACUGAGCUUUGUCCAAAAAAUCUGACUGUGGUGCACUUCCUUUCUUUUGUCUGAUAACUCGAAGUUAGAAUUAAAUAAAACCGAUGAUAAGCACAUCCCAAAGGCAGGGACAAGCAGUAGGGUUCAAUAGUCACUUUCUGGAGGUCUCUGUCUCAGAUAUGGAUCAGAUUUCCUCCUGUUUACAUGUAAGAAGGUUGUGAAGAUCUGCAAUUUCAAGAUACAUCUGGUUCCCGCAUCAAAUUAAACAACAACUAAAGCCUGAGUGCUGGGGCAGAUUUUAAAAAUGUAGGAAUGAAUGUGUGUUUAUAUAGUAUUUGCAUUAAUGCUUCCUACGGUUUAUUUUGAAAGUGAAGAAAGAACAUUGCAUGGUAGGCAAUUUAACCCAAACAAUAUCGGUUUAAAGUUAGGGGCAUGCUCCUUGGAAUAUUUUCUUAGUGUUUUGAAGUGUCCACUUGAAGAGGGAGUGGGAAGGGGAGGGGGAAGAAAAGGAUUGUUCUGUCUUCUGCUCUGUGUUUGGCCUGGCUCAGUAGGGCUAUUGCUGUUGCUCAUCUGGUAUGGAUUAGUCCUUCUCUCUCACACUCUGUCAACUUGGGUGUUCUGCAUGCAGGCUGUUUCUGCAGGGGUCUUGGUUUUGCUUUUUUUAACGGCAGGAAGUGCCCCACUCAGACCACAUGUGAAAUUGUGUGGGAACAGUGGGGGGGGAUGAAAGAGCCCCAUCAAACAUACCAAAAAUGUGGGUGGAGAGACAGGGAGCGUAAGCGGAGAGAUACCAGCUGAGUAAUUUAACCUCCUGGGCUGGCCAGGCUGGGGACACAGUGGAAGUUUGCUGCCUUAAAAGUGUCUGUUGCUCGUGACAUCAAUUUCUGAUAUUUUUAUAUCGGGGGGCUGUUGGAAGUGUAAGGGAUUACAGCUGCAGCUUAAUUUGUUCUAAAUUUCCUGCUAGCCUCACCAGACAUGUACAGGAAAUAGGCAGUAAAUGUUUAAUAGGUAAUACCUAACUGGACAAUUAACAGGUGCUGUCACAUUGAAAAUCCAAGCCUGAGUGUGCGGGUGCACCUUGGGGACUUGGAGCAUCGUCAGCAGUGCUGCCUGGGUAGCAUCCGCACAGAGCUGCAUCCCAGCACAGUGGUACCCAGCCUGGAGAUGCCAGAAGUCCCUCACAUUCCAACAUUCCCCCCCAUUCCGAUGUCCAUGCUUGGAUCCAAGGAGAUUUUUUUAUUUUUAAACCUCUCUCUGUUGAUUUUGCUGUUUGCACGAAUAAAUGCAACCACAGCAACUGGUCCAGGCUGCAGUGUGGGAUGCUGGGAAGCCUCCUUGCAUCUAUUUAGUGUUCAAACUCCUUGCUUGUUGUUCACAGCCUGGAAGGGGAAAAUCCAAUGCUUAUUAAGUGAUAGAAAAUGGUAACCUGUUUUUCUGGGUCAGAAUAAAUGUGUCUGUCCUGCCACUCCUGUUCUACCACAGACCAGCAGAUGCCUUCAGACAAAAAUAAAAUUGCAAUGGGCAGAGUGUAUUAAAUUAUCUUUCCCUUCUGCACUUUCUCAGCUUCUGGCAGCCAGCAGGUAUGGGGUUUCCUGAUCCGGAGUCUGUAUCUGGACUUUUAAUAGUCAUUGAUGGAUGCUUUUUUCCUAAUUUCAAAUUAUAUAGAUAUAUAUAUAUUUUUUUUUUUUUUUUUCUGCUGUCCAUAAAAUCCUGUGGCAACAAGUUCUACAAGUUAAUAGCAUGUUCUGUGAAAAGUACUUAAAAUUAUUUUAAAUCUCAAUGUUAAAUGUGACUUUAAUCAAAUAGGGGUUUUUACCAGUAGAAAGUAAUUUCUAAAUAAAUUAUCCACAGGAUUUUCAAGAUCAUGAAAAUCAGAUGGUGUCAACCAGACACAGUUCCUGGGAUUGACUUCUCUUUCUUAAGAUGCCAAUUAAAUAAAAAAAUAUUUUUAUUAUUACACAAUUUCUAUUUAUAUAUUAUUAUUUCUAUUAAAUUCUAUUGCAUUAUAAAUAGUAUUAUACUGCAAUUAUUUUGCUGCAAUGGCAGUAAUCCUUUGCAAUUUUGCAUUUAUCAGCAGAUAAAAUAUUAGAGAAUAACCCUUUUUCAACCUUCAACCUCCUGUAAUGAUUAUGAGCUUGCAAUUAAGUUCUGAUUGUUCAGAAUAAUUGUAUUUCCAAUGAAGGUAGAAUUAGGUUAAUUGAAUUGCUGUUAUUACCUUCAGAGCAAUAUUGUUUUAAUAUGUUUGGCCGACAUAAAGCAAACCUCUCCUUUGGAAUUUGCUUUUAUUAAGUUCAAGUCCAAUCGAGUUCAAAAGAUCCUCCUGUAAAACCUAGCUGUCCCCUAAUAGUGCAUGACUAAUGUCCUACACUUGGCUUUCCUAUAAAUCGCUCUCUUUACUGAGCAAUUUCUGUGUCAAUACUCAGACAUCCUUAUCAGCACUUGAUGUUCAAGUAAACCAACUCUUGUUAAUGACUACACGGAUGGGGAGGGGUGAAAAAAGUAACAUUGCACAGACCUCGAGACUCCUGCUCCAUCUGAACUUUGAAGUCCAGCUGUUAAUAGCAGCGUUGACUACUUACAUAAAAAUGUGUAGUAAACUAAACUGACAUUGUCUGAUUUCAAGUGAUUGGUUUAAACCAUCCCAAAUGGCCAAAGCUUCCACCUUUUUUUCAUCUCUCUGUCUCGGAGCCUGUCACUCAGGAUGAUUAACGUUGUUUUGCGAUAGGAAGGCUAUUGUCCUAGCCUGAAAAAAGUAAACAUUUUUACAGUUGGGAGCAAGAAAAAUUUCAAUCAAGUUCCCUUUCGCAUGAAAAAGGGAUCUCCAGCUGCUGUUUAUUAUCUCUCUGUUUACAUCACACAUGUGCAUGUGGAGGACAAAGUAGUUCAAUAAAUUACUUCUCUACUCUCGAGUUGGCCAUUACAGGCUGCCAGGAACAAAAGCAUUUAAUGGUUUGUUGAAUGCCUCUGAAUGUUCCUACAGUCAUUUUUAACUCUCACCAAGUAGCUGAUCUGCUCUCAUCUGCUUUACCACUUCGUUGAGGUCCCAGAGCAUUUUUUGCAUUGCAUGCGGUAAAAUGAAAGUGAGAUAAAUUAUAUCCAUGCUCCACUGUUAUAGCAGUUAAUACAUAGCAGCAUGGGAUCACGUAUCACACUGGCCUAUCUGACAUUAGGGAUGUGAAUUGUCACCCUGGGAUUGCCUUCCAUCAGGUUUGAUAAAGUUACCAACACCUCGCUUUUAUACUCAGUAAUUUACCUAAUAUCUCCAUUUCUGGGCUUCUGGUAGACAGGGGUUGAUGGUUCAGCUCAGCACAAAGCAAAUGGAAGCAAUGUCCUUCCCAGAUAGGCAAUUCCUUGCUUUGUCCAUCAUAUACUGAACCUCUUUCAUUAUGCUCCAAGCUGUCAUCAAACAAAUGUUGUCCAGGGUGUAACCAGGCAUGCAGUAACAGAAAUCUCAGUAGUGUGUGCAAGUUGGGCCUAGCACACAGGAAAAUUCAGAUAUUCUGUUUUUAUUUAAUAUUCACGUCAGUUGGCACUGAACAAGAACAUCUAGGUUUUCAACAAAAUCAAAAAGGCAAAGCACUGCAAGGAGGGCUGGCAGUACAGUGAUAUUGGGCUGAAACACAAGCUUCCCUUCUCCUAGCCAUUUUUACAGACCUCUGGGAGUGAAAUGUAUUAAAUUUACUGGACAUGCUGGACCCAGUUCAAGCUCUGGGAUCAGUUACCAUAGAUCUGCAUCCAAGCCCUACAUCUUAUCACAUAGCAAGUCCAUCCAGCCAGCAGGUGUGACUUUAACAUUAACAAUCCACUUCCCAUUCACUUGCUGUCAUCCCAACAAAAAGCUGGAAAGUUCUCUCAAUGGUCUUUCAGAAAUAGAGGUUUCAAAGCGUAGGAUGUACUUGUAAAUACACUUUAAAGCAACACCACAAAAAAUGGUCUUUAGGGAAUUAAAACUUGCAAUAUGGGAGAAAAUCCACAAUUGGAGCCCACCUCAACAUCAUCUCAGAGGAAUGUUGUCAUGAAAAGAGGUCUAGCCCCUGUCAUUCUGAUACAGAUUAAGGAUGAAAAGUUGGGGGGAGAACCCCAAAAGAGCUGCCUGCACAUUUAUUUAGGUUUUCAAAAGAGAAGUAGCAGCUAAUAUUUAUGUAAUUCUAAAAUAUUUGGAUACCUUUCUUUGGCCUGCAUUUGGGCUCAAGUAGACAGUGCAUCACAACGAAGAAGGCAGUUGUCUUUGUAGCAUCAGGAACAGAAGCAAUGAGGAGCAGGAAUUUCCCACAGACAGCUUGUUCUGGUGCAAUUUUCCAUCCCAGGUUUCUUAACUUAAGAAAUGUGAAUAUUUAUAAGCCUCACAAACCAAAUGAACUCUGGGAGGAUCCUCUGACCAAAACCCAAUAUUUUUCAGACUUGCUGGUGACCACGUUCAACUGAAGUUUCACGAAGACUGAAUUAGCACAGUGGUUGCAGUCAGUCAAAUAAAGACACUGACUUUCUUGAUUCAUUCUUGGCUAAGAUCAAUCUCUUGUACAUUCCUACCUUUCACCCCUUACUCAUUAAGUGGAAAAUCCAAAGUUUCCUUUACUCAGGUUUGAGCUUGGACUGAUGUGAUGUUUACUGACUGAAACAGUGGUUUUCAAACGACAUCAGGAACAUCUGGCCUCCUGGCUUGGCAGAGAGCCCAGCAAAUUGCCAAUCCAAAGGCCCAAGUUCAUGAACAGCUUUGGGGCUUUCAUUCUGUAACAAGAAAACCCUGAGGGCAGUGGAGAUAGUACUACUCCUCCCUAUUUAAUUGUGCUGCUUUGCUACCUGUGUGCUCCACAGCUGACCUCUAUUUGCUCCCAGAGUCCUCAGACCAAGGUCCUGCAGAUGUCCAUCCAGGCUGUGCUAUGGUGCCCUUGUCUCUCUCUACAUUCCCAUUGUGUCCCAUCACUUUCAACAGCUCCCGCUGGCACAGGUGAUGGGAGCCAUGAGGCAGAUGAGACAGAGAAAGUUUGUCCUCCCUCCAAGCAAGGACAACACACAUCCCUGUGUAUCCUGAGAAGGUCCCACCCUACCAUACUUUCUGUGUUUCCAUCUGUCUUAGGGACUGCUAGUUCCUAAGGCACCUGAAAAGCCUGUGCCAUGCAAAGGAUUAAACUCAAGGCUCCAAACUCUUGGUUUGAGCAGCUGACCAGAAGACCAAGCUGACAUUUUGUCAGCAAAGACCACCUGGAAAACCCAGCAGCAGCAGAUGUUCUGCAUACAGAAAGCAUUUGAAUCUACUGCAGUUUACAGCUCCACACAGGUUUCAAAAGCUAAUUCAGUAAUACUUUACUUGUGUGAGUUGCUUCUUCUCCAACAAGUAAAUCCAUUCUCUCCAGAAAAUGGAUAAGUAAGACUUCACCUGCAACAUGAGAUUGGAUCUCACUCUGAGGAAGCUUAAGUAUUAUGACCUGGGCCCAUCUGGUUUGGAUCACAUCCUCUGUAACGAGUUGUUGACUGGAGCAUAAAAACUUAACCAGUGCUAUGCUGCUGAGGUAUGCAUUGCUAAACAACAAGCAGUAGAUCCCUGUUUAUGUUCUGUAUAUAUGUCAUUGCAACAUACCUUGUCUAGGGAAACAACGGUGCUUGUUUACAUGCAGAAAUUCUCUGAAGGUAGAGGAGCUGUGGCUUUCACCGCAUGGAAAAUGCAUGUGGAGAGGGUCACGGUCAAGUUAAAAGUUUGUUUGUUAGAAAACAAAUCACAAAACAUGGCCCUACAGGGAUUAGCACCAGUUGUCUUGAACUGGUUAGUGAGGUGAGGGGGACAAGCAGCCAGGGGAAAAAAAAAUGUUUCCAAAAAUCAGUGACUGACUGCCAAGAGAACAGCGCGUCUCCGUCCUGACCUCCCAUGAGCUCUGAACUCUGCUGGCACUGUCCAGCCUCCUUCCCUGAGAAAUGCAAAGCUUAUGGAGAAAGUCAUCUUUGUUUCAUGAGAUAUUUACAUUAGAGAAGGGAAGGUCUUUUGUAUAUUGUCCCUGACCUUUGCAAGGAGGAGGGGGAAUUGUAAUCAGGUUUCACGAUCACAAUUUUCACAGCUGCACAUAAUAAUUUGAUUCAGGUAUUUGAUUCAUGCACUGAAGCUGAAAACUUGUCUAGAACUAACAAUUGCUCUGGUUUCCCACAGACUGUUCUGCAGAGAUAUACCCUCUGCCUGCCCAUUGACCUGGGCAUGGACCAUGCAUGGAAACCUUUAGUGCUGAACACUGUAAGAAAGGGAAAAGGAAUCAAGAAGUUAAAUUAAAAUGUCUGUGCUUGGCACUCUGUUGUGUCUGAUGAUUUUUUUUUCUUCCAAACACUCACAAAUGAAAAGGAAGAGCUAAUAGGAGUUUGGCUCCAUGUGCUCUUCCUGAGACAGAGUGGGGUCUACAGAAUUUCCUGCUCCUGUGCCGCUAUCUUAGAAAGGCUUAAAAACAUAGCCAGGUCCAAGAAAAAUCAAAGGACAUCUCUGAAAAGGGAUGCAGAAUUUCCAAAUCCAAGGGUGGGAGCUGCAUUGAUAUGGCGAAUUACAUGGAGGUGGAAAAAGGAAGCAGGUUCAGUGUAAGAUUUCACAUGGCCUUUGGUGCCUCUGCAGUGUAAUGGGGAGAUGGGGUGGGGGUGCCUGGAUGUGGGAGAGGAAAGAUUCAGGCUCCUUAUUUCCUCUCUAACAAAACACAGUCACCAUUUCAAAUACUGCCCUACAUGACAGUAACAUGUAAUUGCACUGAAGUCCAUGGUUGGAAGAUUUGUCCCUCCAGUGCUGAAGCUAUCGGGAUUUUAAUGUGUGGGGUCUCCCUCUCAUGAUGUCAAGGCACUGUGGGUCAAAAUAAG